rnacentral:lncRNA from 1 species
CUCUGUCACAAGUCAACUUUGCCCUCAUGGCAUGAAAAGCAGUCACAGGCAGUGCAUAAAUGAGGGGAUGAGGCUGGGUUCUGAUAAGCUUUAUUAAUGGACCCUGAAAUUUGAGUUUUUCAUACAGUAUUUUUAUGUCAGAAAAUAGUCUUCUUCUUCUUCUUUUUUUUUUUCCAACCAUGUAAAAAUGCAAAAACCCUUCAUCAUUCAUGGUCCAGACAGAAACUGGCAGUGCCUAGAUCCGGCCUGCAGGCACAAGCUUUCUGCUUAGCUCUCCAUUAGAGCUACCUCUCCAUUAGAGGCUGUGUGUCAGCCUCCUUAAAUAAAAACGACCAAGUCAGUAAAAGAAGUGAAGAAGUUAGCAGGUAACAGCACCUAAGCUCUAUUUUACUGUCUUUGGAUAACCAUGCGGAUUUAUUUUUAAACCAGUGCUUAGUCCAUAUCUUAUUUUGUGCUUUCAUAUAAUUCUCUCAUCCUCCCCGCAAUCUUAUGAAGCCACGUGGUAGCACUUCUAUGUUACAGAUGAGGAAAAUUAAAUGCUAAGAGGUAAAGCAACUUGUCUGGAGCGACGCAGGUAAUACACGGCCAAGUGCAGUUGCACACUUACACUUGGUUUUCUAGUCUCAGCAGCCAGCACUGUGGGCCUCUCUCUGCCCGAAUGCAACCUCAGGGGAUGCAUCUGUCCAUCCAAGAAAACAUUGGUUAAUCCCCUUCUCGGUGCUGGGGACACACUCUAGGUCUCUACAUUGGAGCUGUACAUUCCGGAGGAACCUGCACAUGGCUAUGAAGAAGGUAAAAGAAGAUGAUGUGUUAGGGCGCCUUUAGGGAGGAGAUGGUGCGGAGGUCAAGGAAGAGAGCACCCUCUGAGGAGGAGACACCGAGCUGGAUCUGGAAAAUUAAAGAGGAGCCCAUCCCAGGAAGAUCUGGGAGGGAAGUCUGAGAAAAGAAUCUGAAGAACUAGAAUGUAGUGUCAGUCAGCGUAGCUGCCGAAAUCCACGCUCCAGAGGUAAACCUAACAGAGCUAACAGAGAACUGAGAUAACACAAACAAGCACUUUCAAAGUCAACGUCCCACUUCCUGAGCAGCUGCAAAACAAGACAGCGAGCACUGCCGCCACGUCCUCGUAGGCGCUCUAGAGAAAGGGGGCGUGUAGUCGGGGGCGGUGCCAAUGGGCAGUCCCAGCAGCCC